UUAACUUAAAUUUGUAUGGAAUUGGAACGUUUACCGACGUUUGCCGCUAUGGGCGCUGUUCCAGAUGCAUACAAAUCUGAGUUA
rfam:Bombyx mori DNA, contig: Bm_scaf40_contig23253, strain: p50T/Dazao, build 2, whole genome shotgun sequence.